UACGUAGGGUGCGAGCGUUGUCCGGAAUUAUUGGGCGUAAAGGGCUCGUAGGCGGUCUGUCACGUCGGGAGUGAAAACACGGGGCUUAACCCCGUGCCUGCUUCCGAUACGGGCAGACUAGAGGUAUGCAGGGGAGAACGGAAUUCCUGGUGUAGCGGUGAAAUGCGCAGAUAUCAGGAGGAACACCGGUGGCGAAGGCGGGUCUCUGGGCCGAUACUGACGCUGAGGAGCGAAAGCGUGGGGAGCAAACAGG
rnacentral:rRNA from 1 species